GUUUCAAAAUGGAACAAUAAUUUUCUGGGAACUCCACCUCACCCUGUAAAAGUGAAGAUUGGGCGAGUUGACUACAGUGUCUUGGCAAAGGACAAAAAUAUGAAAUAACCAGUUCAAAGUCACCUCUCGUGUCUUAGAUAGAGCCUCAGCUGCCUCUGUCUUUGAAAUUCUUCAUUUACUAGGCAGGGUCAGCCCCUCUCAGAGCUGAGCGUUUCACAGGAUGAAGGUCCUUCGUGAUUAUGUCAUUUCUGGUCCACCCAGAUUAUCUAGGCUGCGGCUGAUUAUCUACCUGCAUUCCAUCGGCCAGCUAAUUCCCUUUCACCACAUGAGACCAAAGGCGAGGGUCAUCUCCAAGAAAAGAUCACAGGCUGCUGGGCUGCAAGCUGAACUACCAUUUUUGUGUGAAACAAUAUUUUUACUUGAAAGAAUGGUGGAAGGACAAACUACAGUUUCACACUUGAGUAUGUGACCUUUGUUCAGCAAACACUCAUUAUUGUUCUGAGACCUUGUGGCAUUCUGGACCCAGGUGUGCCAGGUAAACGAUUCCUUCUCCACCCUCCAGUCUGACAAUGCAGCACACUCUGGGCUUGCCUUAUCCUACCUAACUUAUCCUUCAUUACUGCAGCCCCAGGUGACUCUGGUUUUGGGGAAAUCUACUCUUCAGUGAUUCCUUGAAGGUGGGGUUUGCCCCUCUGGAGCCAAGAGCAGUGCACUCCUCUGAUCUAACAGACUUUCAUCUUUACCAACCAGCCUGCUGCUUGGGGUAAGCCAAAAUCUUUCUGUGUCAAUGUGUUUUGUAAUUUUCAGAACAAGGAUCAGAAAUCAUCUUUAAAUGGUCUAAACCAUUUUUUAUGAUAAUAAUUUAAUCUUGAAUCUACAUUUUCCCCGUGAAGGAAGUAUGAGUCACAUUUUGAAAAUUGCCAGUGAUAACUACACUGCAACUACUACUAAUAAUCAUAACGACCAAACUGCCAGGCACUUUGCAGAUAUCAUUGCAUUUAAUCUUCCCUGAUUUCCUCAGUAGCUAUCAUGAUGACUUUUCUUUUUUCUUUUUUGUGAUAAGGUCUUGCUCUGUCACAGAAAUGGAAUUUCUGCAAUACUGGUGAAUGCAUUAAGGCUACACACCUAGUUUCAAGGAAAGUUGGAGUUCCAAUUAAAUUCUGUCUUGCUUUUUCAACAUAGUUCCCCACUUUCCAAAGAAUAGCAUGAUGCUAGGAUUUUAAACAACUACUCAGUGCAGUCAUAAGAAAAAUUCAACUUUCUUUCUCUAGAGGGCUUUUCACUUUUUUUUUUUUUUUUAAAACAGAGGCUUUCUGACAUAAUUUCUGACUAGAGACAAGUUCUUAGCAGGUUUAGAAAAGACAUCUUCAGCUGGGUGUGGUGGCUCACGCCUGUAAUCCCAGCACUUUGGGACGCCGAGGCGGGUGGAUCACCUGAGGUCAGGAGUUCGAGACCAGCCUGACCAACAUGGUGAAACUCUGUCUCUACUAAAAAUACACAAUUAGCCAGGUGUAGUGUGGCUGUAAUCCCAGCUACUUGGGAGACUGAGGCAGGAGAAUCGCUUGAACCCAGGAGGUGGAGGUUGCAGUGAGCCAAGAUUGCACCAUUGCAUUCCAGCCAGGGCAACAAGAUCGAGAAACUCCAUCUCAAAAAACAAAAAAACAAAAACCAACAGAUCUCCAAACCUGGUUUCACCCUCACACUGUGAUCACCGCCUGUGCAUGUAAAACUUGGCUUCAUUUGUCCAUUUUGUGCGUUGGAGGUUGAUGGUGUCCUGAGGGUGCCCCCUGCUUGGGCAUGGGCUCUCCAAUCUCAUGCUGGCUUUGCUGGUCUGUCCUGAAUCAGCAGUGGUGAGGCAGUAGUCAGGUUUGGGGUCGGACUUGGUGAUGGCCUUGAUCAGGGUUCAGAAAAGCAUGAGUCUAUGAGGGGUGAAAGAUAUUCUCCUGGGAUGGAAAGGGAAAGAUUCCUUAAGUCCCCUCCUGGGUGAAUUGCAUCUGAAAGCUUUGGUGGCAGCUUCUCUGCACUGAAGCUCUGGUGAAUGUCUGGGUUAUCUCAGUAAAAAUAACUCUUGGGCUAAGGGUGAAUGUUCUUUUGUGUACUUUCCACACAGCAGCCUGACGUUGCUUGCAGUGUCUUUGUCGGACAUCACUGGGCUUAGCCGCACCAUUGAUCCACUCUGGCCAGUCCAUACGGAAGUCAAAUGCUCCCCACUGCAAGCAAUAAAUACAACAUAGCCCAGAGGAAAUGUGUUUAUUCCAGCAGCCAGGUGUUUGGGCCUCAGUACCUCUUCAUGAGUCAGAAAAAAAUAGUAUUUUUCUAUUUGUCUCCCUCCAACUAAUCUGAAAUUCUUCAGGCAUUAUCUGCAACGGCUGAGUCUUAAUGCUUCCUUUCAAACUUUAAUCAGCGACACGAGGCACAUGUGUUUGUCUCCUGUGUGUUCCUCGUCAUUUGUAAGUGCCAGUUUGUAGGUUUAAUAUCAUCUAAAAUGUCAGGGCUCUGGCAUGGUUCUAAUUUUAGUCCCUUUCUAUCUUUCCUCCAUUGUUUAUGAAAUGACAUGAAUGCGCCUCCGCUCAGUAAGGAUUUGCUAAGAAUUUU
ensembl:lncRNA